rnacentral:rRNA from 1 species
UACAGAGGUCUCAAGCGUUGUUCGGAUUCAUUGGGCGUAAAGGGUGUGUAGGUGGCGCGCUAAGUCGGGUGUGAAAUUUCGGAGCUUAACUUCGAAACUGCAUUCGAUACUGCCGGUGCUUGAGGACUGGAGAGGAGACUGGAAUUUACGGUGUAGCGGUGAAAUGCGUAGAUAUCGUAAGGAAGACCAGUGGCGAAGGCGGGUCUCUGGACAGUUCCGUGACAGCUGAGACACGAAGGCCCAGGGGAGCAAAACGGGG